UGGGGAAUCUUGCGCAAUGGGCGAAAGCCUGACGCAGCGACGCCGCGUGAGUGAUGAAGGCCUUCGGGUUGUAAAGCUCUGUGGAGAGGGAAGAAUAAGGGCGGGCUAAUACCCCGUCCGAUGACGGUACCUCUUUAGCAAGCACCGGCUAACUCUGUGCCAGCAGCCGCGGUAAUACAGAGGGUGCAAACGUUGUUCGGAUUUACUGGGCGUAAAGCGCGUGUAGGCGGCUUGGCAAGUCGGGUGUGAAAGCCCUGGGCUCAACCUAGGAAGUGCACUCGAAACUGCCUCGCUGGAGUCUCGGAGAGGAAAGCGGAAUUCUCGGUGUAGAGGUGAAAUUCGUAGAUAUCGAGAGGAACAUCGGUGGCGAAGGCGGCUUUCUGGACGACGACUGACGCUG
rnacentral:rRNA from 1 species